CAGGUACUCUAACAACAAAUUUGGCCUUCAUUAAAUCUCAGCGGUCACAACAUCAAUAAAUCGUCAAUGUAACGAAUACAAAUCGGAUUGAUUAUAGAUGCAUACGUCAUUAUGUAUGGGGAUGAAAUGUUCACAUGGAAAGCACGUAUCCCACUUAAAUAUUCAUUUAAAAGUUCUCUCCUCAAACUCACCGUGAUAAAUUGUUGCAGCAGCAGCGGAUAUCGAGCCAUUCGCUGUAUGGGCUGGACCAGGAAGCUAU